GACAGAGGCCUCAAGCGUUAGGCGGAAUCACUGGGCUUAAAGCGUGUGUAGGCGGAUGCCUAAGUACCUUGUGAAAUCCCUCGGCUCAACCGGGGAACUGCGUCCGAUACUGGAGGGCUUGAAUCCGGGAGAGGGAUGUGGAAUUCCAGGUGUAGCGGUGAAAUGCGUAGAUAUCUGGAGGAACACCGGUGGCGAAGGCGGCAUCCUGGACCGGCAUUGACGCUGAGGCGCGAAAGCCAGGGGAGCAAACGGG
rnacentral:rRNA from 1 species